rnacentral:rRNA from 1 species
GAUGAACGCUGGCGGCGUGCCUAAUACAUGCAAGUCGAGCGAACGGACGAGAAGCUUGCUUCUCUGAUGUUAGCGGCGGACGGGUGAGUAACACGUGGAUAACCUACCUAUAAGACUGGGAUAACUUCGGGAAACCGGAGCUAAUACCAGAUGAUAUUUUGAACCGCAUGGUUCAAAAGUGAAAGACGGUCUUUCGGUCACUUAUAGAUGGAUCCGCGCUGCAUUAGCUAGGUGGUAAGGUAACGGCUUACCAAGGCAACGAUGCAUAGCCGACCUGAGAGGGUGAUCGGCCACACUGGAACUGAGACACGGUCCAGAGUCAUACGGGAGGCAGCAGUAGGGAAUCUUCCGCAAUGGGCGAAGGCCUGACGGAGCAACGCCGCGUGAGUGAUGAAGGUCUUCGGAUCGUAAAACUCUGUUAUUAGGGAAGAACAUAUGUGAAAGUAGCUGUGCACAUCUUGACGGUACCUAAUCAGAAAGCCACGGCUAACUACGUG